rnacentral:rRNA from 1 species
GACGAGGGAUCCUAGCGUUGUUCGGAAUCAUUGGGCGUAAAGCGGGUGCAUGUGGCUCUGUAAGUCAGGUGUGAAAGCCCAGGGCUCAACCCUGGAGGUGCAUUUGAUACUGCGGAGCUUGAGUGCUAGAGAGGUAAGUAGAAUUCCAGGUGUAGUGGUGAAAUACGUAGAUAGCUGGAGGAAUACCGGAGGCGAAGGCGGCUUACUGGCUAGACACUGACACUCAGACCCGAAAGCGUGGGGAUCAAACAGG